AGUGGAACUGCUGGGUCAUAUGGUAAUUCUGUUUAACUUUUUGAGGAACUGCCAAACUACUUCCCACAGUGACUGAACCAUUUUAUGCUCCCACCAGCAAU
rnacentral:pre_miRNA from 1 species